rnacentral:rRNA from 1 species
UGGGGAAUCUUGCGCAAUGGGCGAAAGCCUGACGCAGCGACGCCGCGUGCGGGAGGAAGGCCUUCGGGUUGUAAACCGCUUUCAGGGGGGACGAAGCCACUCGGGUGAAUAGCCCAGAGGGUGACGGUACCCCCAGAAGAAGCCCCGGCUAACUACGUGCCAGCAGCCGCGGUAAUACGUAGGGGGCCAGCGUUGUCCGGAUUCAUUGGGCGUAAAGAGCGUGUAGGCGGUUCAAUAGGUCCGAUGUGAAAACUCGAGGCUCAACCUCGAGAGGUCGUCGGAAACCAUUGAGCUAGAGUCCGGAAGAGGAGAGUGGAAUUCCUGGUGUAGCGGUGAAAUGCGCAGAUAUCAGGAAGAACACCGAUGGCGAAGGCAGCUCUCUGGGACGGUACUGACGCUGAGACGCGAAAGCGUGGGGAGCGAACAGGAUUAGAUACCCCCGUAGUCC